UACGUAGGGUGCGAGCGUUGUCCGGAAUUACUGGGCGUAAAGAGCUCGUAGGUGGUUUGUCGCGUUGUUCGUGAAAUCUCACGGCUUAACUGUGAGCGUGCGGGCGAUACGGGCAGACUUGAGUACUGCAGGGGAGACUGGAAUUCCUGGUGUAGCGGUGGAAUGCGCAGAUAUCAGGAGGAACACCGGUGGCGAAGGCGGGUCUCUGGGCAGUAACUGACGCUGAGGAGCGAAAGCGUGGGGAGCGAACAGGAUUAGAUACCCUGGUAGUCCACGCCGUAAACGGUGGGUACUAGGUGUGGGUUUCCUUCCUUGGGAUCCGUGCCGUAGCUAACGCAUUAAGUACCCCGCCUGGGGAGUACGGC
rnacentral:rRNA from 1 species